CCUCCUUUAAAGAAACCGGAAUACGGGGUGAAAGCGCCCUCACAAUCUGCUUAGUCAUCGAUCAAGAUAAACCGCGGGUCUGUAGCUCAGUAGGUUAGAGCGCACCCCUGAUAAGGGUGAGGUCGGAAGUUCAACUCUUCCCAGACCCACCACCUUCGCGCUCGUAGGAGCAAAAAGGUACCAAGGGGCCAUAGCUCAGAUGGGAGAGCACCUGCUUUGCAAGCAGGGGGUCGGCGGCUCGAUCCCGCCUGGCUCCACCAGGCGAUAAACGGCGGCGGCAAAUUNGCCCCCGCCGUUUAUCUCCUGGCCGACUCGCCACGGGACGUUCUUUUACAAUUUAGGUAGUAA
rnacentral:tRNA from 1 species